rnacentral:rRNA from 1 species
AUUGAACGCUGGCGGCAUGCCUUACACAUGCAAGUCGAACGGCAGCACGGGGCAACCUGGUGGCGAGUGGCGAACGGGUGAGUAAUGCAUCGGAACGUACCUUUCAGUGGGGGAUAACGUAGCGAAAGUUACGCUAAUACCGCAUAUUCUGUGAGCAGGAAAGCAGGGGAUCGCAAGACCUUGCGCUGAUUGAGCGGCCGAUGUCAGAUUAGCUAGUUGGUGAGGUAAAGGCUCACCAAGGCGACGAUCUGUAGCGGGUCUGAGAGGAUGAUCCGCCACACUGGAACUGAGAAACGGUCCAGACUCCUACGGGAGGCAGCGGUGGGGAAUUUUGGACAAUGGGGGCAACCCUGAGCCAGCCAUGCCGCGUGAGUGAAGAAGGCCUUCGGGUUGUAAAGCUCUUUCGGCCGGGAAGAAAUCGCACGGGCUAAUACCCUGUGUGGAUGACGGUACCGGAAUAAGAAGCACCGGCUAACUACGUGCCAGCCGCCGCCGUAACAC